rnacentral:lncRNA from 10 species
GAGAAGGGGUCUUGCUAUGUUACCCAGGCUGGAGUGCAGUGGCCCGAUCAUAGCUUCCUGCAACCUCGAUCAACCUCGAUCUCCUGGGCUCAAGCGACCCUAGAGGAAGGGCGUUUCAGUAUGGGCACUUCUUAGGAAAUCUUCGCUGCUUUGGAGACUAAAAGAGCCCAAAGGCAGGUAGGUGAGCCGCGGAUACAAGCCUCCCUGUCUCCCUGUUGUUGCAUACAGGUCUCACAGGAAACUAAGUGAGGAGUAGGGAGGGCAGUGGGUUAGGAACAGCGAUGGCCAGCAGAUGGCGCCAGGCCCCAAGGCAUGACCCGCUGGCCGCAGGCGCGCCUAGGAGUGGCCGCGAAGCUAGUCCCCAAACAAAGCUGGAGCCAAUGCGCUCUCUGGGGUCCUUCACAUCCUGCUACUCAACGACCUGAAGGUAAUCAGCUACUUCCUGGCUCUGGGGCUUCACCUUUUAAUGAGCCUGGUUAGCCGGUUUUGUUUUCUUUUGGGGGACGUGCGUGUGGUUUGUGACCCCUUUUUCCGUUGGCUCUCAGAGUCCAGAGCUCCCCGGGGUCCGCCCUGACCCGUGGCUCCGCCUCGCCUCGCUCCCGCGCCCAGAGCGGCGCUCACAGGUCGGUCGCUGCCUGCACAGAGGUCUGUCCUGGACCUCUUAGGUUGGACUGUCCCCUCUCUCCCUGUCGCCGCUGCUGUUUGGGGACUUGGACGCCCCUCUGCAGAGGCGGGGGGCCUUGCCUCCGGCCCCAUCUGACAUCUUCCUUGAAGAAUCGCUGCCUCACCUAGAUGUCCUUUGGGUGGCGCAGUUCGUUGGCCUUCUAGGAAGGCUGGUUGCCAAGAGCAGGGCUUUUGCUCAGGGCCCCGGUGGCUGACGAUUGUGUCCUGCGUGGGAUAAUCGAAAGUGUGCACAAGUCACUCACUGAUCAGACGUCCCAGGGAGACCGAGGGGUGGGUGCAGCUUGAUGGAAC